rnacentral:rRNA from 1 species
UACGGGGGGGGCAAGCGUUGUUCGGAAUUACUGGGCGUAAAGGGCUCGUAGGCGGCCAACUAAGUCAUACGUGAAAUCCCUCGGCUUAACCGGGGAACUGCGUCUGAUACUGGAUGGCUUGAGUUCGGGAGAGGGAUGCGGAAUUCCAGGUGUAGCGGUGAAAUGCGUAGAUAUCUGGAGGAACACCGGUGGCGAAGGCGGCAUCCUGGACCGAUACUGACGCUGAGGAGCGAAAGCCAGGGGAGCGAACGGG